GUGUGUGUGUGUGUAGUGGAUGCAGAGUGUGUGUAUAUAAUGCAGUGUGUGUAGUGUGUAUAUAAUGCAGUGUGUUUAUGUAGUGUGUGUAUAUAAUGCAGUGUGUGUAGUGUGUAUAUAAUGCAGUGUGUUUAUGUAGUGUGUGUAUAAUGCAGUGUGUUUUUGUGUGUGUAUGUAAUGCAGUGUGUGUGUGUUUGUGUAGUGUGUAUGUAUGUAAUGCAGUGUGUGUUUGUGUAGUGUGUGUUUGUGUAGUGUGUAUGUAAUGCAGUGUGUCUGUGUAGUGUGUAUGUAAUGCAGUAUGU